UUGUGAGGACAAUGUGGGACAUGUUUUAAAAGAUGGAGACACUUGUCCCCGCUGCCUCGACGCGGUCCCUCGGACAUGUCGGUUCUUCUGUGCCGAGGCGAGGCUCGGACGGGAGAGUGCCGGCUCCUCCGUGGAGCUGUCCCCGGUCAGAGAGGAGCCUCAGCGGCUGUAACAGGUGACGAACACCGGGGGAAACAAAGGAAACUGAUAUUUCUGUUGGUGUUGCUCCUCCCUAUCUAUUUCCCUCUCCCUCCAUGUCGACCGUCGACCAUCACAGAGCAACAGAUGGAAGUGCACACCAGGAUAUGACCACUAAGAGGAUUCCUCUUUCUUUGCCCGUGACUCUGGACUUUUUUUGAGGGUUUAAUGUGGAGACAGACUCUUUCAUCGUGAACCAGCUCGACUGGCUUCCUGGAACCGGUGUCGGGUUGUCGGUUAAGCCCCUCUGAAACCCGCCACUACCCACGCUGCCCUGCUUGGCAGACGGAGAUCCCUGAUCACAAGUCAGCUGUAAAUAACAUUAACUUGAGCAACCAGGUGGCAUCGGAAAGUCCUCGUAGCGUCGUGAGUCUCUGAACUCUGACCUUUCGCUCAGAAGUCUGAGGUAUGUGCCAGUUCAGCGAGUGGCUCAGUGUCAGGUUCACUCACCUGUAGUUCCCUCUCAGAGGAGGCCGUGUGUGCUCGGUAUCGGCAGGAAGCCCUCAGGGUUUUAUUACCAGGGAUUCAAUUAUGAUAAAACCACAGUAGAUAUUCUGUUACAUACAAAGAACUACAUGUUGUUUAAUUUUUGCACUAAUAUCUCAAAUAAAGCUAAAUAAUUAUUAUAGUAAUCUGAUAAAUGCUACUUUAUUAUGUUAGAAUUGGUAGCAUUACAAAACUUUUCUGGUUUCUUGGACAUAUGUCUGGAUCAGGGGGUUUAAUCGUGAAAAAAAAUCAUUCACAUUUAGUCAAACUUAUAUCAAUGAGUGAGUAAAAUUUGGUGCAGCCUGAUUGAAUUUAAGGAGACUGCUGAUGUCUGUUCUCCACUGAGUACCAUUCUAGUUUUAUGUCAUUUUUAUACUGAUAUGGACCUAUGAAUAUGAAAUAAAGCUAUAAUUCAAGUGCAAA